rnacentral:rRNA from 1 species
UAGGGAAUCUUCGGCAAUGGACGGAAGUCUGACCGAGCAACGCCGCGUGAGUGAAGAAGGUUUUCGGAUCGUAAAGCUCUGUUGUAAGAGAAGAACGAGUGUGAGAGUGGAAAGUUCACACUGUGACGGUAUCUUACCAGAAAGGGACGGCUAACUACGUGCCAGCAGCCGCGGUAAUACGUAGGUCCCGAGCGUUGUCCGGAUUUAUUGGGCGUAAAGCGAGCGCAGGCGGUUAGAUAAGUCUGAAGUUAAAGGCUGUGGCUUAACCAUAGUACGCUUUGGAAACUGUUUAACUUGAGUGCAAGAGGGGAGAGUGGAAUUCCAUGUGUAGCGGUGAAAUGCGUAGAUAUAUGGAGGAACACCGGUGGCGAAAGCGGCUCUCUGGCUUGUAACUGACGCUGAGGCUCGAAAGCGUGGGGAGCAAACAGGAUUAGAUACCCUGGUAGUCCACGCCGUAAGCGAUGAGUGCUAGGUGUUAGACCCUUUCCGGGGUUUAGUGCCGCAGCUAACGCAUUAAGCACUCCGCCUGGGGAGUACGACCGCAAGGUUG